UACAGGAGGGUGACAAGCGUUAAUCGGAAUUACUGGGCGUAAAGCGUGCGUAGACGGUUAUGUAAGUCGGGUGUGAAAGCCCCGGGCUCAACCUGGGAAUUGCAUUCGAGACUGUGUAGCUAGGGUACGGAAGAGGGAAGCGGAAUUUCAGGUGUAGCGGUGAAAUGCGUAGAUAUCUGAAGGAACACCAGUGGCGAAAGCGGCUUCCUGGUCCAGUACCGACGUCAGGCACGAAAGCGUGGGGAGCAAACAGG
rnacentral:rRNA from 1 species